CGGGGACCCGCACAAGCGGUGGAGCAUGUGGUUUAAUUCGACGCUAACGCGAAGAACCUUACCAGGUCUUGACAUCCUCUGACAGUCUUAGAGAUAAGGCAUUCUAGCUUCGGUUAGACAGAGAGACAGGUGGUGCAUGGUUGUGUCAGCUCGUGUCGUGAGAUGUUGGGUUAAGUCCCGCAACGAGCGCAACCCUUAUUCUUAGUUGCCAGCACUAACGGUGGGCACUCUAAGGAGACUGCCGGUGACAAACCGGAGGAAGGUGGGAUGACGUCAAAUCAUCAUGCCCUUUAUGACCUGGGCUACACACGUGCUACAAUGGCCUAUACAAAGGGUAGCGAAGCUGUGAAGUGGAGCCAAUCCCAAAAAGUAGGUCUCAGUUCGGAUUGUAGGCUGCAACUCGCCUAUAUGAAGUCGGAAUCGCUAGUAAUCGCGGAUCAGCAUGCCGCGGUGAAUACGUUCCCGGGCCUU
rnacentral:rRNA from 1 species